UUUAAGUGCAACCAUAAGUUUUCGUGUCCAAUUUUGAUCGUCCGUAUUAUUUGAAAAUUUUUAUAAUUAGUAUUUUUAUUGUUAUGAGAUGAUAGAAUAUGAAUAAUACUUUAUGCAUGACUUAUGUUUUUAAAUUUUUUCAAAAGAAAUCUCAAAUAAGACAGAUAAUUAAAGUUGGGCACGAAAAAUCAUGGCUGUAGUUAAA
rfam:Oryza meridionalis cultivar OR44 (W2112) chromosome 12, whole genome shotgun sequence.